rnacentral:tRNA from 1 species
CCCGCAAAGUGGGAGUGGCCCGCUUGGAGCUUGC